rnacentral:rRNA from 1 species
AUUGAACGCUGGCGGAAUGCUUUACACAUGCAAGUCGAACGGCAGCACGGGAGCAAUCCUGGUGGCGAGUGGCGAACGGGUGAGUAAUAUAUCGGAACGUGCCCAGUCGUGGGGGAUAACGUAGCGAAAGCUACGCUAAUACCGCAUACGAUCUAUGGAUGAAAGCGGGGGAUCGCAAGACCUCGCGCGAUUGGAGCGGCCGAUAUCAGAUCAGGUAGUUGGUGAGGUAAAGGCUCACCAAGCCAACGAUCUGUAGCUGGUCUGAGAGGACGACCAGCCACACUGGGACUGAGACACGGCCCAGACUCCUACGGAGGCAGCAGUGGGAAUUUUGGACAAUGGGCGCAAGCCUGAUCCAGCAAUGCCGCGUGCAGGAUGAAGGCCUCGGUUGUAAC